GGGCCCAUAGCUCAGUGGUUAGAGCAGUCCGCUCAUAACGGAUUGGUCGCUGGUUCGAUCCCAGCUGGGCCCA
rnacentral:tRNA from 1 species